rnacentral:rRNA from 1 species
UACAGAGGUGGCAAGCGUUGUUCGGAAUUACUGGGCGUAAAGGGCGCGUAGGCGGCCUGCUAAGUCGAACGUGAAAUCCCUGGGCUCAACUCCAGAACUGCCUUCGAUACUGAGGAUCUCGAGUCCGGGAGAGGUGAGUGGAACUCCGAGUGUAGAGGUGAAAUUCGUAGAUAUUCGGAAGAACACCAGUGGCGAAGGCGGCUCACUGGCCCGGUACUGACGCUGAGGUGCGAAAGCGUGGGAGCAAACAGG